CCUACGGGAGGCAGCAGUAGGGAAUUUUCCACAAUGGGGGCAACCCUGAUGGAGCAACACCGCGUGCAGGAUGAAGGCCCUCGGGUCGUAAACUGCUUUUUUCUGUGAUGAAUAUGACAGUAGCAGACGAAUAAGGAUCGGCUAACUCCGUGCCAGCAGCCGCGGUCAUACGGAGGAUCCAAGCGUUAUCCGGAAUUACUGGGCGUAAAGAGUUGCGUAGGCGGUCUUGUAAGCAGGGCAUGAAAUAGUGUGGCUCAACCAUACUGCUAUGUUCUGAACUGCAAAACUAGAGGAUGAGAGAGGUUAUUGGAAUUCCCAGUGUAGGAGUGAAAUCCGUAGAUAUUGGGAGGAACACCGAUGGCGUAGGCAGAUAACUGGCUCAUUCCUGACGCUCAGGCACGAAAGCGUGGGUAGCAAACGGGAUUAGAUACCCCGGUAGUCCACGCCGUAAACUAUGGAUGCUAGCUGUACACCGUAUCGACCGGUGUGUAGCGAAGCUAACGCGUUAAGCGACGUCCGCCGUGUGGAGGUACGGAGCGCGAGACGUUAAACGUAAAGUUAAAGGUUAAAGUUAGUUACGGCGUUGAGACGCGCCGACGGACGACGACGAGGGAGGAGG
rnacentral:rRNA from 1 species